GGGCGGUUAGCUCAGCUGGCAGAGCGCUUCCUUCACACGGAAGAGGUCACAGGUUCAAGUCCUGUACCGCCCACCA
rnacentral:tRNA from 1 species